rnacentral:miRNA from 1 species
UACUGCACUUGUCCCGGCCUGGCA